AAAAUGAAAUUGACAUCUUUGAUAAUAAGUUAAGUUUGAAUGCAACAUACAUUAUCACGGAUGCAAUUGUAUCAAUUCCUAGAGGAAAGCUUGUGCUUCAGGAUGAAAGAUACAACUACCUCUGGACUUUAACUAGAAAAUGUAUUGUAGCUGUUGUACCUAAUGAUGAUGGACUCCAAGUUAUACAAGAACCAGAAAUAGAUGAGAUUUCAUUUUCUCAUUUUCACAAGUACAUUAAUACAGAGUAAAAAAUCAGUGUUAUGGCUGUUUUUGUACACAAGCUUCCAAGGAAGCAUAUUGAUUCAAAAAAUAGAAAAAUUGAUGUUGCAGAUAUCGUGUUGGUUGAUGAACAGGCGAAACCAGUGAUUUUCACUCUUUGGGGAAAAUAUGCAAAAUGAGAAGGAAUAGAGUUAGAAACAACUUGCAGCAGGCAAUUUUCCUGUAAUUUUAGCAAAGAAGAUUGAGGUGACAAACUACAAUGGUGUGUAUACAAUAUUCUAUUUCAUUUUGAAAGUUAUUUUUACACUUAGUCAUUUUUGAAAACUAA